AGGCUUAACACAUGCAAGUCGAGCGCCCCGCAAGGGGAGCGGCAGACGGGUGAGUAACGCGUGGGAAUCUACCCUUUUCUACGGAAUAACGCAGGGAAACUUGUGCUAAUACCGUAUACGCCCUUCGGGGGAAAGAUUUAUCGGAGAAGGAUGAGCCCGCGUUGGAUUAGCUAGUUGGUGGGGUAAAGGCCUACCAAGGCGACGAUCCAUAGCUGGUCUGAGAGGA
rnacentral:rRNA from 1 species